AGUGAACGCUGGCGGUAGGCCUAACACAUGCAAGUCGAACGGCAGCACAGUAAGAGCUUGCUCUUACGGGUGGCGAGUGGCGGACGGGUGAGGAAUACAUCGGAAUCUACUUUUUCGUGGGGAUAACGUAGGGAAACUUACGCUAAUACCGCAUACGGCCUACGGGUGAAAGCAGGGGAUCUUCGGACCUUGCGCGAUUGAAUGAGCCGAUGUCGGAUUAGCUAGUUGGCGGGGUAAAGGCCCACCAAGGCGACGAUCCGUAGCUGGUCUGAGAGGAUGAUCAGCCACACUGGAACUGAGACACGGUCCAGACUCCUACGGGAGGCAGCAGUGGGGAAUAUUGGACAAUGGGCGCAAGCCUGAUCCAGCCAUACCGCGUGGGUGAAGAAGGCCUUCGGGUUGUAAAGCCCUUUUGUUGGGAAAGAAGAGCAGCAGGUUAAUACCCCGCUGUUCUGACGGUACCCAAAGAAUAAGCACCGGCUAACUUCGUG
rnacentral:rRNA from 1 species